rnacentral:lncRNA from 10 species
AGGAGAGUAGCUUUGCGCUCAGUUACCUGCCACAGAAAGGUUCUGCUGCCAAGCAGGGAGUUGAAGGGAUCUGCAGACAGCCUGCCUGUGUUGGUCUGGAAGCCCAUGCUCUUUGAGGGUCAGGAGAUUCAAGACCAGGUGGCAUCUUCUGCAGAGGACACCACUUUCCAAAGACAUGGCUUGGUUCUUCAUAGAUGAUAG